rnacentral:rRNA from 1 species
GACGAACGCUGGCGGCGUGCUUAACACAUGCAAGUCGAACGGAAAGGCCCUGCUUUUGUGGGGUGCUCGAGUGGCGAACGGGUGAGUAACACGUGAGUAACCUGCCCUUGACUUUGGGAUAACUUCAGGAAACUGGGGCUAAUACCGGAUAGGAGCUCCUGCUGCAUGGUGGGGGUUGGAAAGUUUCGGCGGUUGGGGAUGGACUCGCGGCUUAUCAGCUUGUUGGUGGGGUAGUGGCUUACCAAGGCUUUGACGGGUAGCCGGCCUGAGAGGGUGACCGGCCACAUUGGGACUGAGAUAAGGCCCAGACUUCUACGGGAGGCAGGAGGGGGGAAUAUUGCACAAUGGGCGGAAGGCUGAUGCAAGAACGCCGGGGUGGGGAAGAAGGGCUUCGGGGUGUAAACCGGUUUUGCCUGGGAAGAAGCGGGAGUGACGGUAAUGGGGAAAGAAGCAACGGCUAACUACGUG